rnacentral:rRNA from 1 species
UGGGGAAUAUUGGACAAUGGGCGCAAGCCUGAUCCAGCCAUGCCGCGUGAGUGAUGAAGGCCUUAGGGUUGUAAAGCUCUUUCACCGAUGAAGAUAAUGACGGUAGUCGGAGAAGAAGCCCCGGCUAACUUCGUGCCAGCAGCCGCGGUAAUACGAAGGGGGCUAGCGUUGUUCGGAAUUACUGGGCGUAAAGCGCACGUAGGCGGAUAUUUAAGUCAGGGGUGAAAUCCCAGAGCUCAACUCUGGAACUGCCUUUGAUACUGGGUAUCUUGAGUAUGGAAGAGGUAAGUGGAAUUGCGAGUGUAGAGGUGAAAUUCGUAGAUAUUCGCAGGAACACCAGUGGCGAAGGCGGCUUACUGGUCCGUUACUGACGCUGAGGUGCGAAAGCGUGGGGAGCAAAACAGGAUUAGAUACCCUGGUAGUCCACGCCGUAAAACGAUGAAUGUUAGCCGUCGGCAAGUUUACUUGUCGGUGGCGCAGCUAACGCAUUAAACAUUCCGCCUGGGGAGUACGGUCGCAAGAUUAAAAACUCAAAGGAAUUGAC